AUGACGAUCUUAAGCUGGAACUGUCGGGGCUUGGGCCACCCUGGUACGGUUCGGGAAUUUGUGUGCCUAGUGCAUACCCAUCGCCCCUCUGUUGUGUUCAUUUCAGAGACACGACAGUGUGAAGAGAGCGUUAAAAGAAUAAGAGAUAGAAUAGGAAUCAAGAAUUGUAUCACCCAUGAUGGGGUUGGCAAGGGUGCCGGCAUCGCCCUCUUUUGGGACGAUAGCGUUGAAAUAAAUCUGCUCUCUUAUGGUUCGCGUUACAUUGAUGUUCAUAUCCGGGAAUCCCCCAACAGCCCACUCUGGAGAGGUACUUUUGUGUAUGGUGAGCCGCGUGCCCAGGAGAGACAUCAUAUGUGGAACCUAAUCCGGAGAAUAAAGCCUCGAUCAGCAGAACCUUGGAUGAUGAUUGGUGACUUCAAUGCAACUAUGUGGCAAGGAGAACACUUCUCUGCCACGAAGCGAUCUGAACGGCACAUGAGCAACCUCAGGGAAGUGUUGGGGUGGUGUGACCUAUAUGAUCUGGGAUACAGAGGGCCGGCAUGGACCUUUGAUAACAAACAAAAGGGGAAGGCAAAUGUGAAGGCUCGACUAGACAGGGGUACAAUGGAUGGAUAUGUUCCCGCAUGGUCAGAUACAACAUAUUGUGACCUCGAGAUCAGACCACUUCCCCUUGCUUCUCACUCUGGACAAGGUCCAUAUGUCGAACAGAAAGAAAAAUUUCAGAUACGAGAUGAUGUGGGAAAGAGUAAACACGUUGGAGACAACUGUAAAGAAGGCGUGGAGUAA
rnacentral:rRNA from 1 species